UACAGAGGUCUCAACCGUUGUUCGGAUUCAUUGGGCGUAAAGGGUGCGUAGGCGGUCGCGCAAGUCGGAUGUGAAAUCUUAGGGCUCAACCCUGAAACUGCAUUCGAUACUGCGUGGCUCGAGUACUGGAGAGGAGACUGGAAUUUACGGUGUAGCAGUGAAAUGCGUAGAUAUCAGGAGGAACACCAGUGGCGAAGGCGACGCUCUGGGCCGAGACUGACGCUGAGGAGCGAAAGCGUGGGUAGCAAACAGG
rnacentral:rRNA from 1 species